rnacentral:rRNA from 1 species
GAGUUUGAUCAUGGCUCAGAUUGAACGCUGGCGGCAGGCCUAACACAUGCAAGUCGAACGGUAACAGGAAACAGCUUGCUGUUUCGCUGACGAGUGGCGGACGGGUGAGUAAUGUCUGGGAAACUGCCUGAUGGAGGGGGAUAACUACUGGAAACGGUAGCUAAUACCGCAUAACGUCGCAAGACCAAAGAGGGGGACCUUCGGGCCUCUUGCCAUCAGAUGUGCCCAGAUGGGAUUAGCUAGUAGGUGGGGUAACGGCUCACCUAGGCGACGAUCCCUAGCUGGUCUGAGAGGAUGACCAGCCACACUGGAACUGAGACACGGUCCAGACUCCUACGGGAGGCAGCAGUGGGGAAUAUUGCACAAUGGGCGCAAGCCUGAUGCAGCCAUGCCGCGUGUAUGAAGAAGGCCUUCGGGUUGUAAAGUACUUUCAGCGGGGAGGAAGGGAGUAAAGUUAAUACCUUUGCUCAUUGACGUUACCCGCAGAAGAAGCACCGGCUAACUCCGUGCCAGCAGCCGCGGUAAUACGGAGGGUGCAAGCGUUAAUCGGAAUUACUGGGCGUAAAGCGCACGCAGGCGGUUUGUUAAGUCAGAUGUGAAAUCCCCGGGCUCAACCUGGGAACUGCAUCUGAUACUGGCAAGCUUGAGUCUCGUAGAGGGGGGUAGAAUUCCAGGUGUAGCGGUGAAAUGCGUAGAGAUCUGGAGGAAUACCGGUGGCGAAGGCGGCCCCCUGGACGAAGACUGACGCUCAGGUGCGAAAGCGUGGGGAGCAAACAGGAUUAGAUACCCUGGUAGUCCACGCCGUAAACGAUGUCGACUUGGAGGUUGUGCCCUUGAGGCGUGGCUUCCGGAGCUAACGCGUUAAGUCGACCGCCUGGGGAGUACGGCCGCAAGGUUAAAACUCAAAUGAAUUGACGGGGGCCCGCACAAGCGGUGGAGCAUGUGGUUUAAUUCGAUGCAACGCGAAGAACCUUACCUGGUCUUGACAUCCACGGAAGUUUUCAGAGAUGAGAAUGUGCCUUCGGGAACCGUGAGACAGGUGCUGCAUGGCUGUCGUCAGCUCGUGUUGUGAAAUGUUGGGUUAAGUCCCGCAACGAGCGCAACCCUUAUCCUUUGUUGCCAGCGGUCCGGCCGGGAACUCAAAGGAGACUGCCAGUGAUAAACUGGAGGAAGGUGGGGAUGACGUCAAGUCAUCAUGGCCCUUACGACCAGGGCUACACACAUGCUACAAUGGCGCAUACAAAGAGAAGCGACCUCGCGAGAGCAAGCGGACCUCAUAAAGUGCGUCGUAGUCCGGAUUGGAGUCUGCAACUCGACUCCAUGAAGCCGGAAUCGCUAGUAAUCGUGGAUCAGAAUGCCACGGUGAAUACGUUCCCGGGCCUUGUACACACCGCCCGUCACACCAUGGGAGUGGGUUGCAAAAGAAGUAGGUAGCUUAACCUUCGGGAGGGCGCUUACCACUUUGUGAUUCAUGACUGGGGUGAAGUCGAAACAAGGUAACCGUAGGGGAACCUGCGGUUG